GAACGCUGGCGGCGUGCUUAACACAUGCAAGUCGAACGAAGCACCCUCAUCCGUGGAAGGGAGUAGCUUGCUACGAACGGACACACCCGAGGGUGGACUGAGUGGCGGACGGGUGAGUAACGCGUGGGUAACCUGCCCCAUAGAGGGGGACGAACAGUUAGAAAUGACUGCUAAUACCGCAUAGUAAGAUAGAUCCGCAUGCUUCUAUCUUGAAAGCUUUUGCGCUAUGGGAUGGACCCGCGUCUGAUUAGCUAGUUGGUGAGGUAACGGCCCCACCAAGGCGACGAUCAGUAGCCGGCUUGAGAGAGUGAACGGCCACAUUGGGACUGAGACACGGCCCAAACUCCUACGGGAGGCAGCAGUGGGGAAUAUUGCACAAUGGGGGGAAAAACCCCCUGAUGCAGCGACGCCGCGUGGAGGAAGAAGGUUUUCGGAUUGUAAACUCCUGUCUUAAAGGACGAUAAUGACGGUACUUUAGGAGGAAGCUCCGGCUAACUACGUGCCAGCCGCCGC
rnacentral:rRNA from 1 species